rnacentral:rRNA from 1 species
UCGAAGGUAGCAUAAUCAGUAGUCUUUUAAUUGAAGGCUGGUAUGAAUGGUUGGACGAAAUAUUAACUGUUUCAUAAGAAUUUGUAAUAAAAUUUUAUUUUUUAGUUAAAAAGCUAAAAUUAAUUUAAAAGACGAGAAGACCCUAUAAAUCUUUAUAUAAAAUAUAUUAUAAUUUUAUAGAUUAAUUUUAUUAUAAUAUUUAAUUGUAUUUUAUUGGGGUGAUAUUAAAAUUUAGUAAACUUUUAAUUUAUUUUAUCAUUGAUUUAUGAAUUAUUGAUCCAUUAUUAUUGAUUAAAAGAAUAAGUUACUUUAGGGAUAACAGCGUAAUUUUUUUGGAGAGUUCUUAUCAAUAAAAAAGAUUGCGACCUCG